AUGGAUGUUGAGACAUGUUGAAGGACUUUUGAGAAAGGUUUCUUUGCCCUAACUGAGCUUUUCUUAGAAGUUGAAUGGAAAUGGCAGUUGCUGAGUUUAGGUAGCGUGUGCUAAGGGAAUAGAUACUGUUUUCAAAGCUAGGAAAUGAUUUAUCAUUAAUGUGGCUCUUUCUUUUAAAAGGGCAGACAUUAUUUUUAUUUAUUUUAUUUUUUCUUUUUAAUUGCCAUAAUUUCUCAAGAGUCCAAAUCCCUAAUUUCCCUUCCUCAUAUUCAAUUUUACCCAAAUUCCUUGC
rnacentral:lncRNA from 1 species